CCUACGGGUGGCAGCAGUAGGGAAUAUUGCUCAAUGGGGGAAACCCUGAAGCAGCAACGCCGCGUGGAGGAUGAAGGUUUUCGGAUUGUAAACUCCUUUUGUUAGAGAAGAGAAUGACGGUAUCUAACGAAUAAGCACCGGCUAACUCCGUGCCAGCAGCCGCGGUAAUACGGAGGGGGCAAGCGUUAUUCGGAAUCACUGGGCGUAAAGGGCGCGUAGGCGGGAUAGCAAGUCAGAUGUGAAAUCCUAUGGCUUAACCAUAGAACUGCAUUUGAAACUGUUAUUCUAGAGUAUGGGAGAGGUAGGUGGAAUUCUUGGUGUAGAGGUGAAAUCCGUAGAGAUCAAGAGGAAUACUCAUUGCGAAGGCGGCCUGCUAGAACGUAACUGACGCUGAUGCGCGAAAGCGUGGGGAGCAAACAGGAUUAGAUACCCUUGUAGUC
rnacentral:rRNA from 1 species